UUUACUCCCUCCAUUUUUUAAUAUAGAUCGUUUUAGACAUGUAUACAAGAAUUAAGAAAAUGAUUGAAAAACAUUAACUAUAGUAUCAAUUGUCUAUAAUACCCUUCACCUCACUUAUCUCAUAAAUAUGGAUCAAAAGAUUAGAUGGAGUAAUAAGGAACAAUUUAGAAAAAAUAGUAAUCAAUUCUUCUAGAUAACCACAAACGACAAAUAAUUA
rnacentral:lncRNA from 1 species